GACUCCCCAGAUGAACACACAGGUGAUUGAGGUUAUGGUCUCAUUACCACGAGGUAUUGUGUCCAUCUCCCCUGGGAUCGACCAGAUCAGGUGUUGACUUGGGCGAGAGGGUCUGUUUGUGUGUUUCCACAGGACCAGACGGAACCUCUUUGGGUGCUGGAGAGGUUGGUGAGACGCUGCAAGAAUGAGGCUCCUGAUCCAGUUGCCCCUGUGGAUGUGGUGGAUGAUCCCACAAGCACAAACGAUGGAGCCGAGAUGAGAGAUCCUUUCGGUAUUCCAGAAGCCAAUACCAGCUCGACAUGA
rnacentral:lncRNA from 1 species